rnacentral:rRNA from 1 species
GACGAACGCUGGCGGCGUGCUUAACACAUGCAAGUCGAACGGAAAGGCCCUGCUUUUGUGGGGUGCUCGAGUGGCGAACGGAUGAGUAACACGUGAGUAACCUGCCCUUGACUUUGGGAUAACUUCAGGAAACUGGGGCUAAUACCGGAUAGGAGCUCCUGCUGCAUGGUGGGGGUUGGAAAGUUUCGGCGGUUGGGGAUGGACUCGCGGCUUAUCAGCUUGUUGGUGGGGUAGUGGCUUACCAAGGCUUUGACGGGUAGCCGGCCUGAGAGGGUGACCGGCCACAUUGGGACUGAGAUACGGCCCAGACUCCUACGGGAGGCAGCAGUGGGGAAUAUUGCACAAUGGGCGGAAGCCUGAUGCAGCAACGCCGCGUGCGGGAUGACGGCCUUCGGGUUGUAAACCGCUUUCGCCUGUGACGAAGCGUGAGUGACGGUAAUGGGUAAAGAAGCACCGGCUAACUACG